rnacentral:rRNA from 1 species
UAGGGAAUCUUCCACAAUGGACGACAAGUCUGAUGGAGCAACGCCGCGUGAGUGAAGAAGGGUUUCGGCUCGUAAAGCUCUGUUGUUAAAGAAGAACGUGGGUAAGAGUAACUGUUUACCCAGUGACGGUAUUUAACCAGAAAGCCACGGCUAACUACGUGCCAG